GACGAACCGAGCGAACGUUGUUCGGAAUCACUGGGCUUAAAGGGCGCGUAGGCGGGCUGUCAAGUCUGGGGUGAAAUCCCGCGGCUCAACCGUGGAACUGCCUCAGAUACUGACGGCCUCGAGGGAGAUAGGGGCGAGCGGAACUAAUGGUGGAGCGGUGAAAUGCGUAGAUAUCUGGAGGAACAUCGGUGGCGAAGGCGGCAUCCUGGACCGGUAUUGACGCUGAGGCGCGAAAGCCAGGGGAGCAAAGCGGGAU
rnacentral:rRNA from 1 species